UUUUAUAAGAAUAUGAUGUUGGUUCAGAUUAAGCGCUAAAUAAGGACAUGACACAUGCGAAUCAUACGUUUAUUAUUGAUAAGAUAAUAAAUAUGUGGUGUAAACGUGAGUAAUUUUAUUAGGAAUUAAUGAACUAUAGAAUAAGCUAAAUACUUAAUAUAUUAUUAUAUAAAAAUAAUUUAUAUAAUAAAAAGGAUAUAUAUAUAAUAUAUAUUUAUCUAUAGUCAAGCCAAUAAUGGUUUAGGUAGUAGGUUUAUUAAGAGUUAAACCUAGCCAACGAUCCAUAAUCGAUAAUGAAAGUUAGAACGAUCACGUUGACUCUGAAAUAUAGUCAAUAUCUAUAAGAUACAGCAGUGAGGAAUAUUGGACAAUGAUCGAAAGAUUGAUCCAGUUACUUAUUAGGAUGAUAUAUAAAAAUAUUUUAUUUUAUUUAUAAAUAUUAAAUAUUUAUAAUAAUAAUAAUAAUAUAUAUAUAUAAAUUGAUUAAAAAUAAAAUCCAUAAAUAAUUAAAAUAAUGAUAUUAAUUACCAUAUAUAUUUUAUAUGGAUAUAUAUAUUAAUAAUAAAAUUAAUUUAUUAUUAUUAAUAAUAUAUUUUAAUAGUCCUGACUAAUAUUUGUGCCAGCAGUCGCGGUAACACAAAGAGGGCGAGCGUUAAUCAUAAUGGUUUAAAGGAUCCGUAGAAUGAAUUAUAUAUUAUAAUUUAGAGUUAAUAAAAUUAAUUAAAGAAUUAUAAUAGUAAAGAUGAAAUAAUAAUAAUAAUUAUAAGACUAAUAUAUGUGAAAAUAUUAAUUAAAUAUUAACUGACAUUGAGGGAUUAAAACUAGAGUAGCGAAACGGAUUCGAUACCCGUGUAGUUCUAGUAGUAAACUAUGAAUACAAUUAUUUAUAAUAUAUAUUAUAUAUAAAUAAUAAAUGAAAAUGAAAGUAUUCCACCUGAAGAGUACGUUAGCAAUAAUGAAACUCAAAACAAUAGACGGUUACAGACUUAAGCAGUGGAGCAUGUUAUUUAAUUCGAUAAUCCACGACUAACCUUACCAUAUUUUGAAUAUUAUAAUAAUUAUUAUAAUUAUUAUAUUACAGGCGUUACAUUGUUGUCUUUAGUUCGUGCUGCAAAGUUUUAGAUUAAGUUCAUAAACGAACAAAACUCCAUAUAUAUAAUUUUAAUUAUAUAUAAUUUUAUAUUAUUUAUUAAUAUAAAGAAAGGAAUUAAGACAAAUCAUAAUGAUCCUUAUAAUAUGGGUAAUAGACGUGCUAUAAUAAAAUGAUAAUAAAAUUAUAUAAAAUAUAUUUAAUUAUAUUUAAUUAAUAAUAUAAAACAUUUUAAUUUUUAAUAUAUUUUUUUAUUAUAUAUUAAUAUGAAUUAUAAUCUGAAAUUCGAUUAUAUGAAAAAAGAAUUGCUAGUAAUACGUAAAUUAGUAUGUUACGGUGAAUAUUCUAACUGUUUCGCACUAAUCACUCAUCACGCGUUGAAACAUAUUAUUAUCUUAUUAUUUAUAUAAUAUUUUUUAAUAAAUAUUAAUAAUUAUUAAUUUAUAUUUAUUUAUAUCAGAAAUAAUAUGAAUUAAUGCGAAGUUGAAAUACAGUUACCGUAGGGGAACCUGCGGUGGGCUUAUAAAUAUC
rnacentral:ncRNA from 1 species